CACUUAUAACCACCCAGCAAAUCAUGUUUGUUUAUUGUCUCUUUCCCCUGAUUAGCAUAGAACCUUCAUGAGGACAAGGAGUUUGUUUUUUCUGACUGCUGUACUCCUAAUACCUAAAGAAGUUCAUGGGUCAUUAUAGGCGCUCAGUAUUUAUUCGAUGGACAGGUGGACAGACAGAUGGACGGAGGGACGGAUGGACAGAUGAUGGUGACAAACAUAUUCAGCUCCUGCGUGCUGGGUACUAUGUGCAGCUGUUUACUCACGUUACCAUCUUUCAUCCUCACAAUUCUGUUGCGAGCCACUGUGGCCGUGACUCAGCAGAUCUGGAGUCCCUCCCAGGCACCCAGCAAGUGUCGGCAGCGCUCAGAGGCUUCUGGUACAGACGGUCCUGAGACACACUGUCCUACACAAAGUCGCCUCCAGAAGACCUGUCACCUUGCCAUUUAUAGAGUGUGGACAAGGGGAUAGUGAGGACCCCAGAACCCCUCCAACAGCAUAGCCGUCCACAAAGCCCUCCUUAGAAGACGGAUGUCUCCAGGGAGCAUUGUGUUGGGCAAACUGAGGAGCCGAGAGGGCAAGAGAGCCAGCAGGAGCAGCCACGAUGCACCACGUACACAUGGAAGUACCCCACCGUGGCCCCCAACCUGAGACUCUGUGGCUUGCAGUGACCCAGGGAGAUCCAGAACAUCGCAUUACCCGAGCAGACAGUGUCUGUAAGUGGAUGCCAUCCAGUCAGUCCUUGCCCUGGAGUCUCCAGGCCUUAGGCUGGCCCCACAGCGGCCUGAACACAGGUGCCUCAGCCUCUCCCCUCUUUGGUGCCCGAAGAGGAAUUAUGUCCAGUCAGCCUAGUGACACCUCAGCCAGCAGCAGGGCAAAGGCAAGAGGGCCACACUCCAGGGUCAAGCGAGGACAGAAGGGCCAGAGUUCCCAUUAGUUCAGCAUAGCAGAAGCCCAGGAAAAAAACAAUUUUAUUUUUCUUAAAAUAAUUUGAUCAGCAUAUAUUUGUAAUUGAAAUAGUCUUUAUGGGAAAAGUGAACAAGUUGUUAGACUUCCUUACAUUUAUUUGGUGGCUUAGAAAUGUUUUUUCUUUUUAAUGGGGGCAAGGAGGGUGUUGAGUAGAGGCACUCUAAUCGUUUUAGUGCUUAGAGUCUUUAAAGGUCCUAAUCCUUUAAAGGUCCUCCUUUAAAGGUCUGCCCCAAACAGGGACACGUAAUCUGUGCUCAGUCCCUCAACAUUCUUAAGCAGCUGGUUCAAGACAAAGUCAUGCUCUGGCAGUGGAGCUGAUACUAAUAAGGAAUGUGGAAAAGCAUUGCGUCUGAGGGAAAGCCAGUGUGGCCAAAACAAGCUGUGGAAAUUAAAUCUGUCGAUGACCAGAUUGAGCUCAUACUUCUGUACCACGUUAGAGAAGACCUAAGAAGCUCAUUCUCUCAUUUAUUCACCCAUUCUCUAGUGAGCCUCUGUAACAUUUGCAGCCCAGCCACCAUUUGCAUUCCUUCUGGUAAUUGCUGUCUGUACUUUCACUUCUCCUUGAGGAAUGGGCCAUCUCCUAGCUCAGCCCACACACCAGUCAGCACGUUCCAUCCACAGGCCAUGGUGACUGGGUCAGGGAGGAACAAGCGACCCGAGUCAGGCCAAUCCCAGCCAACAAGACCCAAUUCUGGGGCAUCUGUUCCAGCUACUGGAAACCACUCUUCUGCUUCUGAUGUGGCCUGAAUAUGACGCCAACCCAGAGGAAGCUGGCUGAGAGGUGGUUCCAAAUGGCAUCAUGUGAGCCCCAACACCAGCUAUGCCUCUACCUCCAGACUGUGAAGUUCCAUGAGCAACAAGCUCUCUUUGCUUAAGCAAAACACAAGUCACUAGGAGUUGAAUUUCUGGCAUUCGAUGCCAAAACAGUACUUCAAGGGGAGCCAUGCUCUUCCCACACUGGGCUGUUAGCUCCUGGGGCUGGACUUGGUCCAUUCACAUUGAUAUCCCCUCCACACCCAUGGCCUGCAGCAGUGGUUCUCAGGGUGGGGGCACGACCGGGAGGGAGGCAUUUCGCACAUUGGUGGGGGUGUUUUUGGUUUUCACAAUGACUGGGGAACCCAACUGGUGCUCCUGGUGGGAGCCCACCAGGCUCGACUUCCUGCAGUGUGUGGCUGGGGUAAGACUGGUCUUGGUCUAGUUCAGAACUUUACCAAGAGCUGUUCAUCAUUUUGAAAACUCAUGCCAAAGAUGGCCACCCCACCCCACCCUACCUGCCCUACUGAGUCACCAUGCACCACCACACACCUGUGCCUGUCACAUGGCAGUGACUGCCCAAGGCCACGUGCAUCAGACUUCUUUUAAUGUCUCCUGGUGUAGUCUGCCCAAGCACUUACAUAUGGA
ensembl:lncRNA